GGGCGAUUGGCUCAGUUGGUUAGAGCAUCUGCCUUACAAGCAGAGG
rnacentral:tRNA from 1 species